rnacentral:rRNA from 1 species
CCUACGGGGGGCUGCAGUGGGGAAUAUUGGACAAUGGGGGGAACCCUGAUCCAGCCAUGCCGCGUGUGUGAAGAAGGCCCUCGGGUUGUAAAGCACUUUCAGUGAGGAAGAACGCCUGGUGGUUAAUACCCAUCAGGAAAGACAUCACUCACAGAAGAAGCACCGGCUAACUCCGUGCCAGCAGCCGCGGUAAUACGGAGGGUGCGAGCGUUAAUCGGAAUUACUGGGCGUAAAGCGCGCGUAGGUGGCUUGAUAAGCCGGUUGUGAAAGCCCCGGGCUCAACCUGGGAACGGCAUCCGGAACUGUCAAGCUAGAGUGCAGGAGAGGAAGGUAGAAUUCCCGGUGUAGCGGUGAAAUGCGUAGAGAUCGGGAGGAAUACCAGUGGCGAAGGCGGCCUUCUGGACUGACACUGACACUGAGGUGCGAAAGCGUGGGUAGCAAACAGGAUUAGAUAUCCCGGUAGUC